rnacentral:ribozyme from 16 species
ACCCGAACGCAUGAAAAAAAGAAGAAAAAGGAAAAACAACUGUAAUAUAUCUCUGAGAUAUGUAUCCUAUGUAUUG